rnacentral:misc_RNA from 1 species
GCGAGUAUGGCCCUCACGGGUCUAAUCCACCAUAAACACCUUUGUGAACCAGUCAGGGGGACUCGGCCGUGAAAGCCCAGGCGAUUAGCGGAAGGGGCCCUCCUUUGCAAACCCGUUUAGAAGUCUUGAAAGUACUUUUGUAUAAUCUAGUA